CCAAAUCCCUAAUUUCCGCCAUUCCCCUUGACCUGAACGGAACGUCGCAUUUUGAGUAUCUGAAGUGGAAACCCUACCGACACCGUUACCAACGACAAUGGCGAAUACUAGACGGGAGCUACUGGACCGGUGGAGAGGCAUCGAGAAAGAAGAAGAAGAAAACGCCGACGACGAUAAUCUUCAUCCCUCUAAGCUUCGUCGCCUCCACCUCCUCAAAGAACAAUGGUUUGCAGAUGCAUAUAAUUUUCUAAUAUGUUUGCCGUGUGAAGAUCAUAUCUGGUGUGGCUUUUGGGAUAUAAUGGGCCCCCUUUUGGAGACCUUUUACAAUUACUUCAAAGAUGACCGCCAAGAUUCACCUCUUAGGCGGUUAUGGAAGAGAAUGUCUGAUGAAAUGAGGCACUGCUUGCAAUGCAUUUCUCAGCAUCAUCAAGCCCAAGACAUGUAUGAUAUGGAGUAUGAGUCCAGCUCUAUCGGUCCUCUUCUCGAUAUCUUGCAAAAGCUUGAUUAUGAGAGGGUGACAUCACACUUGAGAGAUAUCAAUGCUAAAGUAACAGGGGAAGAAUAUGAUUCUGGUCGUGAUAAUGCUGAAGUUGUUAAUGUCUUGUAUGAGGUAUUGAUGUUCCCACUCCUCUUAGAUUAUCAGCCUCUAUUCACUGAGUUUGAGUUGUUUGUUGAAGCUAUUGAUAAUAAGCAUGAACUGGUUUUGUCUGGGCAUCAACAAUUUCCGGGAGUGUAUGCAUUACUUUUUUGCAAGAGAAGUGUUCGUUCUGUUGGAUAUCGCUUAGCAGGGUCAAUGGGAAAACUGAGGAGAGCAACGGACUUGGAACCUUUGCAGCCCUUACUUAAGAAAUUUAUUGGCAGUUUAGAGGCAGAUGCUUUACCACUGGAUUUGGAGACUUCACCUAGAAUUCAGCUGGAUCGUGUGUCUUCAUGGAUUGGUAUCAAAUCACUACUUGGCUUCUUGGAUCCUCCAACUUUUGAAGAAGGGAUAUUGGAACGUUAUCCCUUUUUUCUUGAUAUUGUACUCAAUCAUAUCAGUGGUGAUUCACUUGAAUUUUCACAUGCUGUUACUUGCUUGAGACAACUUUUCGAAAUGCUAGGUUGUAAGCUUUGGUUAAGGUCUACAUUGUCUCCAAGUGUAAUGCACAACACUCUAAUUGGUCAAUGCUUCCAUACUCGCAACGAGAAAAUCCAUAAAGAUAUUUUUGGUCUAUUCCAACCUUUUCUACAGUCUCUUGAAGCUUUGCAAGACGGGGAGCAUGAAAAGCAACGUAGGCAUUUUCUCUAUUUUCUCCUCCAUCAAGUGCCAGUGAGCAGUAACUUCAGCAUUCUAACAAGAAAAUUGGCAUGUCAGAUAGCACUUCUUGUUGUACACCGAGGUUACAAGAUGAACCCGCCCUGCCCUCCUUUUGAGUGUGCACAUAUGUGGGGGCCUUCCCUUGUUUCAUCUCUGAAGGACUCCUCGCUUCACAGUUCUCUCAGGCAACCUGCUUUUGACCUUGUAGAGACUAUCAUAGUAUCAGAUGCUACUGCUUUAAUAUAUUCAGUGCUGAAUUGCGGCACAGCUUCAAGCACUGUUAGUAGCAUGACAUAUGAGGUCAUUGAUUUGGAUAAUGAAAAUGAUAUUUGGUUACCAAAUAUUCUUCUAGAUGGUGAAGAGCAGGAUAGUAGUACUAAUAGUUCUUGGAGUCAAUUCAGUAUGCAGAGUGGGAUAACUUCUCAAGUCUUCCGAGAGUGGAUGUGCAUUCCAAUGUUAUGGGUUGAUGUUUUAGUUGAUACCAAUCUCUCACUCCUUCCAAUCUCAGUUUCGAAAGCUGUUUUCUGGGCACGAUCUCAUUUUCCUAUGGUAGAACUUGAGAGUAGUGCAGAAAUGGUGCUUCCUGUCAUGUCUUGCCUUUCAUCUUUUGCUGCAGAAUUAUCCUCUUCAUUUGGGUGGAAGGUUCCAACUGGCUCUGAUGAUGGUGGAGAUGGAAACAAAUCAAAAAACUCAGUUGAAGUGUUGACUAUGUCUUGUCCUUUGAUAAGAACAUUUAAAAGGUUAACAACACAUUUUCUAGUUCAGAUGAGACAAGGAGAGCUUCGAAGUCGGUGGAUUUGGGAACCACUGAUGAGUGAGAGCUUGAUCCUUUCGCUUUUGGAUCCGAACGAUGAUGUUAGACAAUUUGGAAAGUCUAUGUUGGAACAAGUGUCAGAUACCCGAGGUCUUUCAUGUGGAUUGCAGUUUCUUUGUUCUAACAAGUCCUCGUUGUAUGCAACUACUUUGGGCUUCAAACAUGCUAUGAAACUGGUUCAACUGGAUUCUGUUCUAUUGAAAUUUCAUACUCUACAUCAUUUUUGGUUUCUUUUAUGCAAAUUACUCAAAGACGGAGGUCUACCUGCUCCAGAGUUGCCUGAAAAUACACCUAGUGAGUUAAGGGUGCCUAGAUUCUCUUCACAAGGCGGGUUUCUGAAGCAGCCAGAUUUUGAUUCUCUGCCUGUGGAUAUCGAUAAACAUGUUAUCGAUGUCGAAUUGAAAACAAAGGAAAAAUUUAGUUGCUUACUAUCUGAAAUGGCAUGGCCUAUUUUCUGUAGGUGCCUGGUAAAAGGCAAGGAAUUUAUUGAUUACAAUCUUUGCCAGAUGACUUGUGUUAGGUUACUUGAGAUUUUUCCUGUUCUUGUUGAUCAACUCCACCUUUUUGGUGGUAAAGAUCCGGGGAAUUUCACAAUGCUGGUAAAAAAUAAAUUGGGUUUCAAAUGGCUUCAUGAUCUCAUGGAAUGGGGGAAGUCAUCACUUAAAGUUGUAAUUGUUUACUGGAAGCGAGCCAUUACUUAUUUACUGAAUCUGUUUAAAAGUUCUUAUGAUAAGACUUCUCUGUCAACAAUCAUGAUCAUUGAAAAUCUUAUUUCGACUGAUGCUUACAGCUUGGAGGAAUUGACAGAACAAGUGUCUGGCCUGUCUGUCUCUCUGUCUAGGGAAGGCACUCAUAAUUUUCAGGAGGCAAAUGUGAAUCCCAAAUCAUUGAUAUCUGAAAGCUGGCCUAUUAAAAAGAACUGUUUUACUUCACAUAUCCAUUCUUCAUCCAUGGAGGAUAUAGGUGUACAAAUUGUGGACUCGAAAAUGACACCUGACGAAAAGGAUACUGAAACUGUAAUUAUUCUUUCGGAUGAUGAAGUGGAACCACAAGAUCUUUCCAAGAAGGUCAUUUUAUCAGUUAGUGAGGCAGGCCACCACAUAUCUGAUGGCAAUAAAAUACCCUGUUAUGCUGGUAAUACUUUACCAACUCCUGACCUUGCUAUCCAGAAUGUUUCUUACAAGAAAACUUCCAAUGAAAUGAAGGAGACCUUCCAGAGAAAGGACAAUACUGAAGUUUUCAGCCUUUCUUCUCAGAAACAAGACUCUAGGUAUGUACAUGAUAAGCUUGAGGCCACUUCAUUUGUUGAUUCAGAAGGCUCAGACAGUUGUAGGGGGGAAGCUAGCUCAAAAUCCAAGGUUAGGAUCAAUUUGGCAAAAAAUUCUUCCGAAGCUGUCAAUGCUAAAAAUUUGAGUAAAGCUUGCAGGAGUACAACUUCCAAAACUGCUGACACUAUGUCAAGUACUGGUUAUAAACAGUUAAGCGAUUCUCAGAAUUCUGAAGAUGAUCUGCUAAAGACUGCAUUUAAAUCUGUGGAACGUAUCCAGUUGCAUGUACCAAAGCCUACUUCAGUCUUGAGAAGACAGGUGAUUCAACUCAGAACACCUCUUGAAAACAGAUCUGGAGGUCUCCAUAAAUUAGAGGACCCAGUGAAAAGAUUCAAGCCACCAAGGUUGGAUGAUUGGUAUAAACCUAUUCUUGAAAUUGAUUAUUUUGCGACAGCUGGAUUGUCAUCUGCAAGAAAAGAUGAAAACAAAAUUGUUAACAAAUUAAAGGAAGUUCCUGUAUAUUUUCCAUCACCUGAACAGUACGUGGAUAUAUUUCGGCCAUUGGUUUUGGAGGAGUUUAAAGCACAGUUACAAAAUUCUUUUUUUGAAUUGUCUUCAUGGGAGGAGAUGUUUUAUGGAAUCCUUUCUGUGAUUUCAGUGGAGAGAGUUGAUGAUUUCCAUCUUGUUCGUUUUGUCCACGAUGAUGGUGAUUCAGCAACAUGCAGGAGCUUUUCAGAAAAUGACUUGCUUUUGCUAACAAAAGAUCAUCCACAAAAAUCUUCUCAUGAUGUUCAUAUGGUUGGAAAGGUGGAAAGGCGUGAGAAAGACUAUAAAAGAAGUUUAAGUAUUGUUCUCAUCCGGUUCUAUUUUCAAAAUGGUUCCUCACGUUUAAAUCUAGCUAGAAGGAAUCUCACUGAACGAAGUAAAUGGCAUGCAUAUCGUUUAAUGAACAUUACUCCACAAAUUCGAGAAUUUCAUGCAUUGUCGUCAGUAAAAUACAUUCCCUUGCUUCCACUCAUUUUAAACCCUACCAAGGAUUCCUCUUGUCUUGAUGAAUGCAAAAAAAUAGAUCUCAGUAAAUUGUGCCAGUCAUUGCAGCGGACUCUGAGAUCAUCAUUUAAUGUUAGUCAACUUGAAGCAAUAAGUGAUGCUAUUGGAAGGGCUAAACCAAAGAAAACUGUUGAGUUAUCUCUUAUUCAGGGUCCUCCAGGAACUGGGAAGACGCAGACUAUUGUUGCGAUUGUCAGUGCCCUUCUAGCUUCUUCUCCACAAAAGAUGAAUUGUCUACAAAAUUCCUUAAAUGAAAACUUAAACCAAAAUUCUUUUUCUACUACCUAUUCGAGACCAAAGAUUAGCCAGAGUGGUGCCAUUGCAAGGGCAUGGCAGGAUGCAGCCUUGGCUAGACAAUUAAAUGAUGAUCUCCAGAGUUCAUCAAAAUCUUCUGAAAAUUGUAUGAGACAAAGAGUGCUUAUCUGUGCUCAAUCUAAUGCUGCUGUGGAUGAAUUGGUAUCAAGAAUUUCUAGCCAUGGUCUUUAUGGAAGUAACGGGAAAAUGUACAAGCCUUAUAUUGUGAGGGUUGGAAAUGCAAAAACAGUCCAUCCAAAUUCUCUGCCAUUCUUUAUUGACACACUUGUUGACCAACGUGUAGCAGAAGAGAGGAUGCAUUCAAAUGAUGGGAAGAAUGAUUUGAGGAUAGAUUCAUCAGCGGGGCUGCGGUCUAAUUUGGAGAAACUCGUUAAUUCUAUUAGGUUGUAUGAAGCCAAGCGUGCUAACGUAAGGGAUGGGAAUUCUAAUGUUAAAAGUCAACCACAUGGCGACUCUCAUAUGGGGCAUGAAAAGGAGAUGUCUGAUGCAGAAAUUGAAAUGAAGCUGCGUAAACUAUAUGAACAGAAAAGACAAAUAUAUAAAGAUCUUAGUAAUGUGCAGGCUCAGGAGAAGAAAGCCAAUGAAGAAACCAAGUCUCUGAAGACUAAGUUGCGGAAGUCUAUUCUAAGGGAAGCUGAAAUAGUGGUAACUACACUAAGUGGAUGUGGUGGGGACCUUUAUGGAGUUUGCUCGGAGAGAAUUUUAAGCUCCAAGUUUCGGGGUUCAUCUGAACAUACCCUCUUUGAUGCUGUUAUAAUUGAUGAAGCUGCUCAAGCUCUUGAGCCAGCUACUUUGAUUCCUCUUCAGCUUUUAAAAUCAAGUGGAACCAAAUGCAUUAUGGUUGGUGACCCAAAGCAGCUUCCUGCAACUGUACUAUCAAAUGUUGCAAGUAAAUUUCUUUAUGAGUGCAGCAUGUUUGAACGUUUACAAAGGGCUGGGCAUCCUGUUAUUAUGCUCACUGAACAGUAUAGAAUGCAUCCAGAGAUAUGCAAGUUUCCUUCGUUGCAUUUCUAUGACAACAAGUUACUAAAUGGCUGCCAAACUUCUAGCAAAUCAGCACCAUUUCAUCAGACCAAGGGUCUCGGGCCUUAUGUAUUCUAUGAUAUUACUGAUGGGCGGGAGGUUCGUGGGAAAAACUCAGGUGCAAUGUCACUUUGUAAUGAUCAAGAAGCUGAUGCUGCAGUUGAAUUACUAAGUUUUCUCAAGAAAAGGUACCCAACUGAAUUUAUUGGUGGAAGAAUUGGCAUUAUUACUCCAUACAAGCGUCAACUUUCUCUUCUGCGAUCUCGUUUUCUUAAUGCAUUUGGAUCUUCAAGCAUAGAUGACAUCGAAUUUAACACUGUGGAUGGUUUCCAAGGAAGGGAGGUGGAUAUAUUGCUACUUUCUACUGUAAGAGCAACGCAUGCUAGCAUCGCUGCAUCUAAAAGCAACUCAAGUUCUAUUGGAUUUGUGGCGGAUAUAAGACGGAUGAAUGUUGCUUUGACAAGGGCCAGGCUAUCACUUUGGAUUUUGGGUAAUGCAAGAACUUUACAGACAGACCAUAACUGGGCUGCUCUUGUUAAGGAUGCUAAAGAAAGAAACUUGGUCAUGACGGCUAAGAUGCCUUAUCAUUCAAUAUUUGAAACAGCUAAAGAUAAGUGUGUUUUUGAAAAUUCUGAUAAUCAUGCUAGACCACUGAAGCAUGAAAAGGUUAAAGAUAGUGGCCACAAGGUGACACAGGUUUUGGUUAAUGACAAUGGUACCUUUGAGAGGAAAAAGAAAUCUGCUGCUUCUAAAGUAAAGGACAAAAAUAAGGGCAGUGAGGAAGAAAAUACCAUUUCAGCUUUGGUAAAAAGUGCUCAAUGUAACGAAAAAAAUUCCAAAGAUGAGCAUGUCUCCAAAAAGAAGGAUACGACAUGUCUAGCUGCAAAACGUGAAAGCAGAAGCUCCUGUGAUGGUGCGGUCACAAUGUUAGAUCAACCAGUUUGCAAUGGUGGACGAGAAGGCAAACAUAAAGUUAAGACUAACAUGGGAAGGACAACAUUGAAUAAAAGACAAUCAAAUUCAAGGAAUAGUUUUGAUCAUCCAGUGGAAGAGACAGAUGGUGGAGAAAAGGCAUCAAAACUUCCCAGAGGGGAUAGGAGCAGUUCUACGGAAGUUUCUGCUUCCGCAAUAAAAGGAUGUCAUAAAGAGAGAGAUGCAGAUAGUCAAGGUAGAGCUCCUAAUCACAAUAAAGCUGCUGAAAUUUCAAAAAGGAAACAACAGCGUGAAGCUGUUGAUGCUAUUCUUUACUCAUCUUUGAUAUCUACAAAGAAGGAUGAGAGAUCGACAAAAGUUUCUGUGAAAAGGCCUGUUUCAUCAUCUGUAGCAAAUGCGAGCAUGAAACCAACCAAGAAAAGAAGUGGUUCAAUGUUUUAGGUUAUGUCACCCUAAAGAUGACAUAAAGGAACAGAAGACUUCCCCAGAGUUUAUAGCAGUGACAAUUUAUGCAGUGAGACCAGAUCAAUGAACAUGGGAUUAAGGAAGGAACGAUUUUUCUGAGGACAAGGCUGAAGCUUCACAUCUUUGUUCUGAUAACCUUUUCGACUUCUCUUGGAUGAAGAUUUUUUGCUUCGCAGCUGCUGCUUUCCAAUCGAUGAUCUAAUGGAGAGUGGAUUGUAGUUAAUUGUGAUAUGGAGAUCACCGGAAAUUUUGAAGUGAUUUAGUUUAUUCCGGUGAAUGUUGGCUAUGGAUGAGGAACAAUAGCUAUUUGUAUAUAUAGCGGCAGAUUUGUGUAAAUGCAACGAAUUUUCUUCAAAGUUGGAAUAAUUGUAUCAUUUUGUUCCUAAUGAUGAAAAGAAUAAGUGACUGCAGAUCUCCUUUUAUAAACGUUUUCGAUCCGUGUAUUAUAAAACGGUGGCAACACAAAUAUAUCAUUGUUUUCUCUAUCUCUUUUCUUGUCACUUCA